rnacentral:misc_RNA from 1 species
UUUCCGUAGGUGAACCUGCGGAAGGAUCAUUAUUGAAUAUGCUUGAUAGGUUGUAGCUGGCUCUUCGGAGUAUGUGCACGCUUAUCUUGACUUAAUUCAUCCACCUGUGCACCUUUUGUAGUCUUGGGGGUUGAGAUCGGUCGACUAUCGGAUGGCCAAGGUCAUUCCGGAUGUGAGGAAUGCUGAGUGCGAAAGCAUACAGCUCUUCUCAAGUGACUUGUCUUCCUCGAGUACUAUGUAUUCAUAUACCACAUAGUAUGUUGUAGAAUGUGAUCAAUGGGUCUAUGUACCUAUAAUAAUUAUAUACAACUUUCAGCAACGGAUCUCUUGGCUCUC